AAUCCUCCAGGUCCUGCACAUUCUUUACUUUUCCAGCAUCUUCUGCACAUUUGAGUCCUUUCCAACAGUGACUAUAUGAUGUUGAGACCCGUCUUUUCACACUGAGGACGACUGAGGGACUCGUACACGACUGUCACAUAAGGUUUCUGCAGGAUUACUGCACACGCGGAUCAUUCUCUGAUCUGGAUCUGAUCGAUAACCUUGGACCUGCCAUGCUCCUCAGCGACAGACUCACAUUCCUCGGUGCUUACUGUCUGUGUGUGUGUGUGUGUGUGUGUGUGUGUGUGUGUGUGUGUGUGUAGGUGAUCUUUUCAGUGGAUCAGACCUAUGAACUCAUGUUCUGUCUGGAAGAGCUGACCUCUGACAACGGCGAGCUCAAACUAGAGCAUCUCACACAGGUACAACACACACACACACACACACACA